rnacentral:rRNA from 1 species
AUACGAAAGGUGCGAGCGUUGUUCGGAUUUACUGGGCGUAAAGCGAGUGUAGGUGGUUUGUUAAGUCGGAUGUGAAAUCCCGGGGCUCAACCUCGGAACUGCAUUCGAUACUGGCAGGCUAGAGUUCGGGAGGGGUAAGCGGAAUUCCGUGUGUAGCAGUGAAAUGCGUAGAUAUACGGAGGAACACCUGAGGCGAAGGCGGCUUACUGGACCGAUACUGACACUGAGACUCGAAAGCGUGGGUAGCAAACAGGAUUAGAAACCCUUGUAGUCC